rnacentral:misc_RNA from 1 species
UACAUUUUAACAAGUUAAUAUCAAGUAUGCAGUAUACAUUAGGUUGAAAAGUAUAGGCUUUAAUUACUGAAUUAAUACAUAUAUGUCGUGAGCUGACUGUUUACUUAUAGCUCUGAAUACAUUAUACGACAGAUAAAAAUUCUUUUUUACAGAUUCUACUCCAUUGGAUAUUUGCAUGGUCAGUAUUCGAUCCAAACUUUGCAGGUGGUGUAACUGACCAAAGUUGUGUUGCUGGCUGCAGUUGUUGUGUUGAUAAGAUCUGCGGUCCUGCCCAUGGGGUUCCAGAUGCGUGCAUAUACGGUUGUAUUGAUGGUCAUAGAGGUCCUAGAUGUGAUGACCUAUGCACACAUAAUUGUACAUCCUGUUCUAACGAUGCAAAUACAUGUGAAACAUGUUAUGAUGGCUUCUAUCUUGGAGUAAAUAAGACUGUCAAUCAGAAUGCCCAGUAAAUUACAAGAAUAAUGUUUGUGAUAGUUUAUCAGGUAAUUGUACUAAAGAAUGUAUUAAAGACACUAUUACCGGUGUUAAGUGUAACAUUUGUAUGAAUAGACUGUAUGGUGAACAUUGCAACACACUCCGUCCAGAAAAUUGCAGACAUGACAAGUGUGAAAAAGACAACGGGGCUUGCUAGUACAGAUGCAACAGAAGUUUUGUUGGUUAUACUUGUACAGAAUGUAUAAAUGGCAGAUUUAGGUAAAAAUAGAAACAAAACUGUCCACUUAAAUGUGCAGAGAAUGUUUGUGAAAAUAAUUCGGGAAAUUGCUUUCAGUGCAUAAAUAACUUUGCUGCAGAUAAGUGUAAUAUGUAUAAACAUCUGAUAUUUUUAGGUCCGAUUGUGACCAGAAAUGUUCUUUGAAUUUGCAUUCACAAAACAUUUGAUAUUGAUAAAGAGAUGUGUAAGUAUGAAUGAAAGUAAAACCAUUCUUGGGAUAGAUGAGGCUACAUAAGGAUAACUGUAUAGAAUGCUCAUUCAAUACUGAAUGUCAAAAAUGUAAAAAAGGCUACUUAUAUAGUUGUAACUAAAAUGUCAAGUAAUAAAGUGUAUAAGUUCUGUGACUUUACUAGAGGCGCUUGUGACGAAUGCAUGACAAACUACUACGGAGAGUCUUGUGAUUUGACAUGUCCUGAAAACUGCAAAGAUUCACAGAGCAACGCACGUCGCUGUGUUUCCGCAAGCGGUGCAUGUAUCUUUGGUUGUAAAGAUGGCUUCUUUGGUCUAAGAUGUAAUGAAGAAUGCAGCAGUCUUUGUGUUGAUAGUGUGUGUACACAUGAAGAAGGAAUAUGUGUAAAUGGAUGUACCGGUCCGUAUUAUAAUCCGGUGUGUGUUUCUAGUUCAGAGAAACCACAAGGAGAAUCCGACAAUACUUUAGCAUUGGUUGUAAUUGCCGUUUUAGCAACAUUUUUGGCUGUAGCUUCUACUGCGUUAUGUAUCUUAGUGUUGAAGACAAUCGUUGAGAAAUUACGCUCUACAGACAGGCAAAUCGAUGAGUCUAUGUCUCAAGUUCAAUAUGAACAUUCAGAAGUAGGAGAAGGAGCAAUACAAACUGAAAAUCAAACAGUUGUUUCAGAGGAAGAUAUCAUUGGUUAUGAAAGUCUCAAUAGAACCCAAGCCCAAGAACAUACGUAUGAUACAGCAAAAUGUAACGUUACAAGAAAUCUUAGUAUCCCCGCAGCCUUAGCCAUGAGGCGGAGAAAGAAAAGGAAGAAACGCUUGUAGCAAGGAGCCUAUAUCUAACGGCCAUGAUCACUAUACAGUACAGGCCGAACGAAAGAAUAACCAUCCAUUCAGACACACCAACAAAAUAAUUUAAGGCGUAACACAGAGAGAAACAACAACAUAAAUUUUAUGCGUAACACAUGGUGCAGAUCCGAAUCGACCUGAUCACCUUCACUGCCAAGCGAGAAAUAAAGGAAGGAUCAAACCCGGUAUGAAUGAGUUAUCUUACUGAAAUAUGCUCUACCAGCUAAAUUUCCCAUAAAAGAAUGAUAAAUAAGACCUGUGAAAAUGUAACAGAAAUCAAGUUAUAGAACAAUAUGUGUUUAUCAACAAUAAAGAAGAUGUAUAAAUCUUCAGUGAAAUAGUAUCAAGAUUCCGAAGAAUAUGAUUAACCUGAUAGCCCGCUGAAGAAACAUGCCGAGGUACAAGAAAGAAUACGACAUGAUAGCCACUGGAGGAAAUGUGCGGAUGUGACGUCACGACAAAAAGAUGCUACAAAAAUUAAACUGACUUUCACAGAUGGAAUUCCUGGUUAUAAUGGUUCAUGAAGGACUGCUUAUGUGUUAUUAAAACACUGACAAUAUUUUGAGUUAAUACUUGUGUAUGAUAUGCGUAUUUAUUGAUUUUGCAAUUUGUUGAUGUUUUGUUUUACUUUUUGAGAUAAUUUUUUGUGUUGAAUCAAUAGUUAAGAAUUUAAAAUUCUGAGUUUAAGUGCUAGAAUUAUGGUGUAGGCCAACACCAUUUUUCAAAAUUCUUCGACGAAACACUAUUUUCUCAAACAUUAAAAUAUUAUAUCUUCAGUUUUGCAUUGAGAUGAUACAAUUUGCUCAAAACAGUUGUUAGGCUUUCUUCAUGAUUGCUAGGUUUAUCCAUUUAAGUUAGUUUUGAUUCCAGAUUCUAAAACCCAAGAGAGGUAAACCCAGGAGAGGUUUGUCUGGAUGGUUAGUAAUUAAUGGUAGAAACAGGACAACAAUAAUAUAAGGUACCGCAAACAAAAAAAUGUAAGAGGUAAGGUCUUAAGAACCUUAACCGGAUCCAGAUGGGAUAGUAGUAAUUUAGAAAAUGUUACCAAGAGCCCAGUUCUAUUAAUUCUGAGGCAAAUUUGGUUUAUAAUUCAAAUAUGUUAAGUAUAAAUUGCUUUAGUACUUAAGGCUGAAUGUCAUAUAAAUCAGGUACUGCAAUGUACUUUACAAAUUGAAUAGGAACCAAUGGAAAUAGGGCAUCAUGAUCAGAAUACGAAGUGUAAGGGCAAAGAAUAAAUCAGACUGACAUAUAAUUAUAUUAAAUAUCAAGCUUAACUGGUAAGGCAGGUAAAUUACAAAAUACAGUUAAAGAAAUAAGUAUGUAAAAUUAAUAACCAGUAAGAAAGGGUGUGCACAUAGAAUUAUUACGAAAAGUUGACAAAAAAUAUCAAAGUGCAAAUGUAAGUUCAUAAAAAUAUACAGUAUCAAAGAAGAGUUCAAAUAAAGGAAAUUAUAUACAGAAACUUUGCUUUCAAAUGAGAAUUUAAGAUAAGAUAUGAAUCUUUAUAGAUUAAGUUGUUGAGUAUUUACCAUAUUUUGGCAUACAAAAUAAAAUGUUAAAAUACAAUGACGGAUGUCUGAAUAAGGAUGGUUGUAAAUAGUUGUAAAUAGUUUGUUCUGUUUAAAUGCCAAUUAAGGUAUCUCAUUCAUUAAAGUUAAGAUUGUAAGUUAGCUACAGUAACCUAACAUGGCGUUAGUAACAAAUGUGUAGUUAACUUAAAAAAAAUAUAAUGUAAUCAAUAUUCAUAAUAUUGUAUAUUGAGUAGACUUUAUAAGCAAUUGUUAUAGUAGUUACAUUUUGAUAGAUGUUUAUAUUUUAGUAGCAUAACUUAAGUUUCUUGUCCUAAGUUUAUAUUUUAAAGGUUUCUUUAAGGGUUGCAUAACAGCAGAAUGCUAGAUUAGAGAAUUUUACUUACUGGAAAUAAUGUCAUGGUAUUAUUCCCACACUAACAUCUAGGUAGGGUGUUGAACUGAAUAUUACUUGUAACAAAGUGGCUAUACAUGUAUGGAUAGUCAUGGUAAUAUUUGAGUUAGGUGGCUUAAAGCACACAGGUUGGUGAUAUGGUAUCAUUGAAUACUCAGAAUGAAAACUCUGAUGUAACUUUGUAAAACUUUUUACAUAUAAACUCUGACAAAAGUUAAACGAUUCAAAUAUAAAAUAAAUUUGGCAUAUUACAGCUGAUUUCAACAUAGUGUUCAUAAUGUUUUACAAAAUACAGCUGCUUUCAACAUAGUGUUCUAAAUUAAAUGGUAUGGUUGCUUUCAAUUAAGUGUUGUAAUUGUGCAUUGUACAGUUGAUUUUAACAUAGUGUUCUAUACAGCUGAUGUCAACAAAAUGUACUGCAUUAAGUAUUACAGCAGAGUUCAAUAGACUGUUAAGAUUAUUACAACUUUAUAGGAAUAAAGUUAUUUUAGGGGAAGAGGUAGUGUUCUGCAGUAAAUUUUUGGUAUAUUUUGUGAAAUUCUUUAUUAAUUUUGAUUUUAAUAAGUAAGGGGAUGUAAAUUGUUGUUAUAUUAUAUGAUAUUCUUUUAAUGUAUGUAGUUGGGAGUCUAAGCAAUUCAACAUGUACAGACAUACAACAUGUUAAGGUAGAUCUAAACAAAUAAAAGAUAGAUAUACAAUUGAAUAACGGUAUUUGCAAGGUGGAAAUCUAUUGCCUGAAGAUGUCUAACGCUAUAUCCCUUUAAUAAUACAUUACCUGCGAUUACGCAUAAGGACCUUUGAACAGAAUAUCUAACUGAGAUGUCAAACACAUUUUUCAAUUAGGAUACUAGUUACAUGACUUUGAUCAAACACAUUUUUUACAAUUAGCACACUAGUUACAUGACUUUUUAUCAGUAAAUAGGGAUUAGAUUGUGUCAUCAAAGAUUUACUUAGACACCAUUUUUUUGUAUUACGGGCAGUUUUAUGGCAGUUAAUUUGCUUACUUGCCAAAUCCUGUUUUAGGGUCCGAGACGAACCAGUUUUUAUGUACGUAUUUUUCAUUGGUCAGUUGAAUUUGUAAUAAGAUUUUUAAUUGGAUAAUUGCGAAGAAAUCAACCGUUUCCAAAUCCUUUAUAAGCACAUCAGCUACCCCGAGAAAGCCAAAACUCUGGCUUCGUAGAAAAUAAAUGUUAUUGGGAGCUGACAAGAUUUUUAUUCUUUUUAUAGGUAAGUCAAAUUUUGUACUCUGUAUUUUUUUCAACUUUGUAAAAUCUGGAUUGGUAACUUUUAAAUUUUAACAGAGAUCUUAUCUUAAUGCUAGGCACAUGUGUAUUGGAAUUGUUUGUUUUAUAUCUAUCCAGCUAUUCAGAUAGCUACUUAGUAUUUUUGUCGUUCAUGUGUAAGAUUUGUACUUCUAUAGUUUAGUUUUAUACAUAUAUUAUGCAUCUCAGAAAACUUCAAAGUAUUUUUGUUUAUGAGUAAGAUUUAGUAGAUUCUUUUUACUGUUGAUUUAUUACAGAAAUUAUGCUUUAUAAUGAAAUCUGAACUAGUUAUUAUUCACAUAGAGAAAAGAAACUUAUUGAGGAGUACUCUAAAUUCUUAAUCACUUAGUGUACUUUCAUUAAGAACUUGUCACAUAAUUUGCGUCUUUCGGUCUAUUUUAAUAAUAUUCUAGGUCGUGAGUACUCUUUAUAGGAAAACAAAUUUAGACGUAUUUAGGAAAUCAAAUAACUGAAUAAAACCGAAAAAAUAACUUUUAGGCAUUUCAAUGUGUUUAAGAAACAAAUCUAGAGUAGGCAGUAUGUUGGUUGAGUGUCGAUUUAAUGUCAGAAACCAGAAUGAUCUUAGUAUCCCCGCAGCCUUAGCCAUGAGGCGGAGAAAGAAAAGGAAGAAACGCUUGUAGCAAGGAGCCUAUAUCUAACGGCCAUGAUCACUAUACAGUACAGGCCGAACGAAAGAAUAACCAUCCAUUCAGACACACCAACAAAAUAAUUUAAGGCGUAACACAGAGAGAAACAACAACAUAAAUUUUAU